UGCAUUUAUUUAUAGGCACAUAUUUGCUGGUCUUGAGAGUAGUAACUCUGUUAGAAAUUUGUUAGCUUUUUUUGGUUUGUUUUUAAAAUUUUUCCUUUUAGGUUUCCUUAUGCAGCACUUCCAUUCUGGCUGAAACCACGUUUUGAGAAUAAGAGGCCCUGUGUUGCUGUCUGGGCUCCGGUGGCCCUGGUUAAAUGUAAGAUGGAAGUUCCACCAUAUUCCACACUGAAUUGAUUUGUAAAUGGACAUCUCCAGCUCACAGAUGGAAAAGUGCUUUGGAAAUCUGCCUUGUUGCUCUCGCUAUCCGCCAUCUCAACUUGCAUUCCUAGUGUCAUUCACUUCCGAUUCCCUGUUACCACAGAGCUACGUCACCUUCAUCUCUCACCUGGAUUAUUGCACUAAUCCCCUCAUAUUGACCUACUUCUAGAAUAAUCUAUUCUCAGCAGGGAAGCCAGACUGAUUCUAAUAAUUUGUAAGAUAAUAUCUGUAGUCAAGACCCUCCAGAGCUACCCCACGUUACUUGGAGUAAGAGCCUGAAUCCCUACAAUGGCCCAUAGGCCAUAGCUGAUGGUCUAGGUGACUACUUCUCCACCUAUUACUACUUAUGCUUACUGCUUACUACUGUAACCUAUUUCCAUGCUUACUCUUGUUUCCCACACCCCUCUGGCCACAUGGGCUUCCCAACCGUUUCUGUAGCAUACCAAACAGCUUGGUCCAGAUCACUGCCUCCCAGGUAUCAGCAUGGCUCACUCAACUAGAUCUGUCCUGAUCAUGCUAUUUAAAUUGCUACCUGUCUCACCUUCCAGCAUUCCUAUUCCUUUCUAGCUUCAUUUCACUUCAUAGCACUUGUUCCUUAAUACAUUAUGCAGUUUACUUAUUCAUCUUAUUGCUUAUCUUGAUCCAAUAGAAUGUAAAUGUCACAAGGGCAGAGAUUUUUUUUUCUGUUUUCUAUAAUCCUGUAUUCUCAGCUCUUAGUACAAUACUUGUCACAUAAUGGACACUUGAAAAAUGUUUUCUAAAGAAAUGAAUAAAUGGAUUUGAUAGGUAAAAAAUUAAA